rnacentral:snoRNA from 1 species
GGCAUAAACAGUAGCUGGCAAUGGGGGUUGUUUUUCUCCUCAGCCAGGGCAGGAGGCCAAGAUCAGCCUCAAACACUGUCGUCAGAACUGCUCCUACCCAGGCAGCCCUGUUUUCCUCCCUCACACAUUU